rnacentral:lncRNA from 1 species
AGUAAUACAGUCGGGUUACGAAUGUGGUCUAAAGAGACAUGAAGAAUGGUUACUCAUAAAGAGUACCUCGCUUGGUUUUCUUUUAUUUGUUGCUGGUAAGCCGGAUACCAGGUCGCAAGAAUGACUUCGUGUUUUCCGGUUUGAGGCGUGCUGUGCUUUCUUCAGUAGGAAAUUUGGGUCCAGAUAAGCAUUUGGAUGUGAGAGAGGGAC